GGCUAAGAAGCUUUAAGAAGUGUUACUCUGUAAAAGUAAAAGAUGAGAUUAUUAAUUCUCCUUUCCCA
rnacentral:tRNA from 1 species